GAUUAGCUAGUUGGUGGGGUAAAGGCCUACCAAGGCGACGAUCCAUAGCUGGUCUGAGAGGAUGAUCAGCCACAUUGGGACUGAGACACGGCCCAAACUCCUACGGGAGGCAGCAGUGGGGAAUAUUGGACAAUGGGCGCAAGCCUGAUCCAGCCAUGCCGCGUGAGUGAUGAAGGCCCUAGGGUUGUAAAGCUCUUUCACCGGAGAAGAUAAUGACGGUAUCCGGAGAAGAAGCCCCGGCUAACUUCGUGCCAGCAGCCGCGGUAAUACGAAGGGGGCUAGCGUUGUUCGGAAUUACUGGGCGUAAAGCGCACGUAGGCGGAUCGAUCAGUCAGGGGUGAAAUCCCAGGGCUCAACCCUGGAACUGCCUUUGAUACUGUCGAUCUGGAGUAUGGAAGAGGUGAGUGGAAUUCCGAGUGUAGAGGUGAAAUUCGUAGAUAUUCGGAGGAACACCAGUGGCGAAGGCGGCUCACUGGUCCA
rnacentral:rRNA from 1 species